AUUUAUAUAAUAUAAUAAGUAUAUUUGAUUUCCAAUCAAAAAGUCUAAAAUUUAGUAUAAAUA
rnacentral:tRNA from 1 species